GUUGAACAAACGCAUUGUCACAUUGAUCUAACAGAUACAGACUACAAAUGAAUGACUGCCAAAUGUAAUGUAUGGUCUAACGUCUAACCGAACAAUGUAGAGUUUCAAACUAUCUUAAACUGAAAGUCCCAACAAUGGUUGAUGACAAAUUCAAAGGUGUAAAUAGUUGAUACAUUCGAACACGCUUCUUCUUCAAGCAAUCUUCUUCUUCCAGCUUUCACAUUUUUAUUCUUGCAACACAAUCUUCACUAACGAUCACAAGAGAUCAAUGAAGGUCAACACUCAACAGUAUCCAUGAAACCCAAUUAGCACAGAUCAAAUUCCGGCUCCGGUUCCGGUUCCGCAUUCAAAUCAAAGUCCACAUUCUCCUUCUUCUUAGUCUUGGCCUUCCCUUUGACGCCGUCUGCCUCCUCGUUUCUCUCAAGCAUUGCCCUCAAACCUCCGUCCACAAAUUUACUUCCACCGCCGACGUCAGCGCUCUUGAAGUAGCUGACUGCCACUUGUAUGUUCCUGAUAAUAGCGAAGAACUCCUCAACCUCGUCGUCGUUCGCUGCCGGCGCCUUCUUAUGCUUUUUCCUCCCGGAAACGACGUCAUUGCCGGCCUGCUCUCUCUUUUCUGCCUCCAUUGUUUUCAGUUGCCUGUUUUACAAUGAGCGACGUUCGACGUAUCGUAAAGAUUGGAGGGGACGUUCCACCUCUGAUAGCGCCGUGAAGAUAGUGACCCGCAAGCGGUCCAAUAGCAUCGCGAGGCGUGGAGCAACUCUGAUCACUUGUUUCGCGGAGACUUUUUCUUCGGUGAUUGCGUUCCUGUGACGUCGGUGCAAAUAUAAUAAUGGGCUCUUUGAGACCUUAAGCAUGACCAAUGGGCCUGCUUGAGAGUUUUUAGGCCCAAAAAGUCCAGCAGCAGAGCCUCCCUACCUCUAGAAAACGAGGUUUCGCAUCUGGAAUUCUCAGCACGUACAUUUCUUUAUUCAUUGCCAAAUCCAAGUAUCAAUUUAUAUACAAAUACACAAGUGCGUAAGGG